rnacentral:tRNA from 1 species
GGGCGAAUAGCUCAGUUGGUUAGAGCUUCCGGUUUACACCCGGACGGUCGGGGGUUCGAGUCCCUCUUCGCCCACCA